rnacentral:rRNA from 1 species
CAUACCUAAACGGCGGGAACAGACGGCCCCGUGAAACGGGCCGCCCCCGCCAGAGGACCCCUAACUCUGUUUCUAUAAUGUUUCUUCUGAGUAAAACAAGCAAAUAAAUUAAAACUUUCAACAACGGAUCUCUUGGCUCUGGCAUCGAUGAAGAACGCAGCGAAAUGCGAUAAGUAAUGUGAAUUGCAGAAUUCAGUGAAUCAUCGAAUCUUUGAACGCACAUUGCGCCCGCCAGUAUUCUGGCGGGCAUGCCUGUUCGAGCGUCAUUACAACCCUCAGGCCCCCGGGCCUGGCGUUGGGGAUCGGCGGAGCCCCCCGUGGGCACACGCCGUCCCCCAAAUACAGUGGCGGUCCCGCCGCAGCUUCCAUCGCGUAGUAGCUAACACCUCGCGACUGGAGAGCGGCGCGGCCACGCCGUAAAACACCCAACUCUUCUGAAGUUGACCUCGAAUCAGGUAGGAAUACCCGCUGAACUUAAG